rnacentral:misc_RNA from 1 species
GUGAAUCAUCGAAUUUUUGAACGCAAAUUGCGCCUUUUUCGGAAGGCAUGUCUGUUUGAGGGUACCAUUUAACAAAUAAUGUGCCUUUUGUGUGCACACGUUGAUGAGCUUUCCAACUUUAUGUAUUAUUUUUGUUGUCGCGUAAUAAACAGCGCGUUGCUUUUUUUCAGUUCGAGUGUAGUAAAAUUUUUUUUUGCCUGGGUUUUGAAAUGCGUGAUCGCGCAAUGGGUGU